GGGGUGAGGGUAGGUUGACCUCAGAUCUCCCCACUGGAAGCCAGAGGUAUGGGGAGCGGGGGAAUCUAUCAUAUAGUGCACCUCUAACUUUGUACAGUACUAAUGCAGUAAAAUCACUCACACUACGAAAUACUAUCAAAUAAACCACAAUUCGAAAUCGUUAAUAAUAAUAUAAAAUCAGUCUGCACACCACCAAGGUGAAUUGGUUUACUCUUGACUCUUGGUUGACAGUGUUGGGGAAUGGUUAAUGUAUUGAUGCUCGAGUGCCAAAUCAACACAAAUUUGUUUCUAUUUGUCUGUAACGCUCAUCUGAUGAAGAAGGACUGGACCACAGCGCAGUGUGGGUUGAAUCAGUCAUAGACAGAAACUUCAGAGACACAGUAUUAAUGAUGAACUCCUGGAGGUUCACUGGACCUGAGCCCUAGGACCAUGCCUCAGGACUACCUGGCAU